rnacentral:tRNA from 1 species
GGGCAAUUAGCUCAGUGGUUAGAGCGCCUGCUGCAUAAGCAGGUGAGUCCAGUUCGAUUCUGGAAUUGCCCG